rnacentral:lncRNA from 1 species
CAGGAGAACCAGGUGCAUCAGCGCAUUGCGGAGCUGAGGAAAGCAGGUCUGUGGUCCCAGAGGCGUCUGCUGAAGCUGCAGGAGGCCCCACGGCCCAAGUCCCACUGGGACUGUCUGCUGGAGGAGAUGCAGUGGAUGGCCACAGACUUUGCCCAGGAGAGGUGGAAGGUGGCCUCUGUGAAGAAGAUGGUCAGAGCUGUGGCCCGGCAGCUGCAGGACAGGACGCGCAGGGAGGCCGGGGCCAGGAGGGAGGAGCCGAGCAGGCUGAAGCAGACGUCACCUGUACUACCAGAGAAAUCGAGCGUCCCUGGUCUAGUACUGCGCAGGUAAAGAUUCCAGCAUCUUUGAAGCAAGUGCUCCACUGGAAAAUAAAAGCGACGUGGAGCACUUGAUUAGACUCCAGAAACAGAAACUGCAGCUGCUCCCACCACCCCCACCACCGCAGGCCCUCCCCGGGGCGCAGCCAACCACACAAGUGCAAGUGCAGCCAUCACCCCCCACCACAGCAGAGCCCCCAGCUCACCACGGUCACGGCCCCGAGACCCAGAGCCCUGUUGAUGGGCACCACCAUGGCCAACCUCCAGACUCGAGUUUCCACCUCCCACCUGCAAGGCCCAAGACUGAUGUCAGCGCUGACGUACCAGAUGGCCCAGGUUGCUGUGGCCACGCCUCCUGUGGUGUCUGUCCUGGCAGUUGUGGUGCUGUCAGCCAGGGUCACAGUGCUUCCAUCAACGCAACGGGAUCAGUGUUGUGAUAAGGCAGCUGCAAAAAGCGGCAGUUGCAAAAGAUGGUGAAGAACUCAAGCUGAAGAGGUGUCUGCUGAAUUUUGUUGCUUCGGUAGGAGCUUUUCACCAUCAGUUUUUAGAAAGUACGCAUGACUCUCCUUCUGUUGAUAUCUCUCUUGAUUUGGCAAAGAGUACAAGGAGGACCGCAAAGGGUUGCCAUAUAAUCAUCACAAAUAGAUCCAGGGAUACCAUAUCAGGUCCUG